rnacentral:misc_RNA from 1 species
CCUGUUCGAGCGUCAUUAUAACCACUCAAGCCUCGGCUUGGUCUUGGGGUUCGCGGUUCCGCGGCCCUUAAAAUCAGUGGCAGUGCGUCUGGCUCUAAGCGUAGUAAUUCUCUCGCUAUAGGGUUCCGGCGGUUACCUGUCAAAACCCCCCCAUUUUUACGGUUGACCUCGGAUCAGGUAGGGAUACCCGCUGAACUUAA